rnacentral:rRNA from 1 species
UUCGGGGAGGUAGUGACGAAAAAUAACAAUACAGGACUCAUAUCCGAGGCCCUGUAAUUGGAAUGAGUACACUUUAAAUCCUUUAACAAGGACCUAUUGGAGGGCAAGUCUGGUGCCAGCAGCCGCGGUAAUUCCAGCUCCAAUAGCGUAUAUUAAAGUUGUUGCGGUUAAAACGUUCGUAGUUGAAUUUGUGCUUCAUACGGGUUGUACAUCUAUAAUUGUGGAUUGUACAUUACCUUAUGUAUGCAAGCGUAUUACCGGUGGAGUUCUUAUAUAUAAUGGUACAUUGUAUUAUUAUAUAUUCCUCCUAUUUAAACCUGCUUCAGUGCUCUUCACCGAGUGUUGUUGUGGGCCGGUACAAUUACUUUGAACAAAUUAGAGUGCUUAAAGCAGGCUCCAAAUGCCUGAAUAUUUUGUGCAUGGAAUAAUGAAAUAAGACCUCUGUUCUACUUUCAUUGGUUUUUAGAUCAAGAGGUAAUGAUUAAUAGAAGCAGUUUGGGGGCAUUAGUAUUACGACGCGAGAGGUGAAAUUCUUGGACCGUCGUAAGACUAACUUAAGCGAAAGCAUUUGCCAAAGAUGUUUUCAUUAAUCAAGAACGAAAGUUAGAG